GACAGAGGGUGCAAACGUUGUUCGGAAUUACUGGGCGUAAAGCGCGUGUAGGCUGCUUCGCAAGUCAGAUGUGAAAGCCCUGGGCUCAACCCAGGAAGUGCAUUCGAAACUGCAGAGCUGGAGUCCUGGAGAGGAAGGCGGAAUUCUCGGUGUAGAGGUGAAAUUCGUAGAUAUCGAGAGGAACACCGGUGGCGAAGGCGGCCUUCUGGACAGUGACUGACGCUGAGACGCGAAAGCGUGGGGAGCAAACAGG
rnacentral:rRNA from 1 species